UACAGGGGGUGCAAACGUUGCUCGGAAUCAUUGGGCGUAAAGCGCACGUAGGCGGUUCGUUAUGUCGGAUGUGAAAGCCCUUGGCUUAACCGAGGAAGUGCAUCCGAAACUGGCGAGCUAGAGUACGAAAGAGGAUCGCGGAAUUCCCGGUGUAGAGGUGAAAUUCGUAGAUAUCGGGAGGAACACCGGUGGCGAAGGCGGCGAUCUGGGUCGAUACUGACGCUGAGGUGCGAAAGCGUGGGGAUCAAACAGGG
rnacentral:rRNA from 1 species